rnacentral:rRNA from 1 species
UACGUAGGGCGCAAGCGUUGUCGGGAAUUAUUGGGCGUAAAGAGCUCGUAGGCGGCUUGUCACGUCGGUUGUGAAAGCCCGGGGCUUAACCCCGGGUCUGCAGUCGAUACGGGCAGGCUAGAGUGUGGUAGGGGAGAUCGGAAUUCCUGGUGUAGCGGUGAAAUGCGCAGAUAUCAGGAGGAACACCGGUGGCGAAGGCGGAUCUCUGGGCCAUUACUGACGCUGAGGAGCGAAAGCGUGGGGAGCGAACAGG